rnacentral:rRNA from 1 species
UACGUAGGCAGCAAGCGUUGUUCGGAGUUACUGGGCGUAAAGAGUGCGUAGGCGGUGCCCUAAGUCUGUUGUGAAAUCUCCCGGCUUAACUGGGAGGGUGCGGUGGAAACUGGGGUGCUUGAGUGUGGGAGAGGUUAGCGGAAUUCCUGGUGUAGCGGUGAAAUGCGUAGAUAUCGGUAGGAACACCAGUGGCGAAGGCGGUCUCCUGGGGUCUUCUUGACGCUGAGGCGCGAAAGCUGGGGGAGCGAACGGG